rnacentral:rRNA from 1 species
UACGUAGGGUGCGAGCGUUAAUCGGAAUUACUGGGCGUAAAGCGUGCGCAGGCGGUUAUGUAAGGCAGGUGGGAAAUCCCCGGGCUUAACCUGGGAACUGCAUUUGUGACUGCAUAGCUAGAGUACGGUAGAGGGGGAUGGAAUUCCGCGUGUAGCAGUGAAAUGCGUAGAUAUGCGGAGGAACACCGGUGGCGAAGGCGGUCUGCUGGGCAGUAGCUGACACUGAGGCGCGACAGCGUGGGGAGCAAACAGG